rnacentral:rRNA from 1 species
GACGAACGCUGGCGGCGUGCCUAAUACAUGCAAGUAGAACGCUGAAGGAGGAGCUUGCUUCUCCGGAUGAGUUGCGAACGGGUGAGUAACGCGUAGGUAACCUGCCUGGUAGCGGGGGAUAACUAUUGGAAACGAUAGCUAAUACCGCAUAACAGUAGAUGUUGCAUGACAUUUGCUUAAAAGGUGCACUUGCAUCACUACCAGAUGGACCUGCGUUGUAUUAGCUAGUUGGUGAGGUAACGGCUCACCAAGGCGACGAUACAUAGCCGACCUGAGAGGGUGAUCGGCCACACUGGGACUGAGACACGGCCCAGACUCCUACGGGAGGCAGCAGUAGGGAAUCUUCGGCAAUGGACGGAAGUCUGACCGAGCAACGCCGCGUGAGUGAAGAAGGUUUUCGGAUCGUAAAGCUCUGUUGUAAGAGAAGAACGAGUGUGAGAGUGGAAAGUUCACACUGUGACGGUAUCUUACCAGAAAGGGACGGCUAACUACGUG